AAAAAGGUGGUACAAAUACUCAAACUGCUGAAACAAGUUUCCAAAAGACUUUUAAAACAGAUCGAGACGAAAUAAAGUGUAUGGUAGUAGAUACAAGCAUCGGUCAUUGAAUGAGUUGUCAAUUUAUCAACAACAAUGUUUAAGAAAUUUAGAAAUGUAUAACUAUAUAUAUAUAUAGUAUAAGAGUAAAUGUUAAUUGUAAUUGUUAGUUUUAAGUUAUAAAUUAUAAAAUAAUAUUUUAUUUGAAUAAACUAUAUAUAAAUCGUGUACCGUGUAUAGAGGUGUUCACCCUCGACGCAGAGUACAGUAAAACAACCUUAGAUUACGAUAUUAUAAUAUUUAUAUUAUAUAAUUCUUCAGUGUAUACAUUUACCGAUGUUAGUAUUUAGUGGUCAUGUAACAUUUGGAAGACUAGAUCGUUUUCAAUAAAAGUAUUAUCUAAAUGAUUAAAUAAUAUAUUCCUUGCGACUUUGAGGGUGCUUAAGCGUACCUAUAUCAUGUAGAGUAUCUCAAACAUUAUUAUAAUUUUCAGCUCACAAAAAAUAAAUAUUUUUAUAUGGUUGCCA